CGGGACGUAGCGCAGUUUGGCUAGCGCGUCUGCUUUGGGAGCAGAAGGUCGGCAGUUCGAAUCUGCCCGUCCCGA
rnacentral:tRNA from 1 species